GAGUUGCAAAUAGAGCUGUAGCCGUGGUGCGUGCAACCUCAGGAAGUCAUUUGCCAGCGCUGUAGCGCGGUCGAAAGCGUCGUCUCCGAGCACAGGGCGUACAGACUCUAGGUACUACAGGCAGACGAGGACCGGAGCGUCAGCGUCCCGCCGCCUGCCCGAGACCACCCCACUCCAGGGCACGCCCACCUUGCGCACGGUCUCCUGCGCCGAGGGCACUGGCUGUCGCGGGAGCGCGCGUUGGAAGCUGAAGAGCCUCGGGUGCCUCCCGGAAAAGAUUCUGACCAAUGCCUGCGGGACAGAGGAGAGGACCCAGUUGGAGCAAGGAAGAGGGAGGACGAAGAUGAUAUAGGGAGAGGGAUCCUAGGGAAGGGUCCAGCUGGAGGAGACAGGCAAGCUGGAUUGUACUGAAGAGGAAGAGCCAGCUGAGGGGGGUUGCAGGGACCACACCAGCAAGAAAGUCAUUCUGUGAAGGAAACCAGCCAAUAGUUCUCCUCACCCAGACACGCCAGAGAUGCCUUUUCCAGGAGCGCAGGGCACAGAGCAGGACCACAGGACUCAGCAUACUCUGCUCUAAGAACCUGAGGAGCGCUGCAGCUCACAGUUGGAGAGGGCUUUGGGACCUGACUUCAUUUAACUGGGGAUCUCUGAAAGUAUGAAGGCUGGCGAGCUACCUUGAGACCUGUAUUACUGAGAAUUCAGUACUCAAUAUUCGGGGUGGGGGAGGGAAAUUGAUGCAGGAUCAGUUGUUUGAAUAAAACACACUAGUUUGU
rnacentral:lncRNA from 1 species